rnacentral:rRNA from 1 species
GAUGAACGCUAGCGGCAGGCCUAACACAUGCAAGUCGAGGGGUAACAUAGAGAAGCUUGCUUUUCUGAUGACGACCGGCGCACGGGUGCGUAACGCGUAUGCAACCUACCUCUUACUGGGGAAUAGCUCGAAGAAAUUCGGAUUAAUGCCCCAUAGUAUUUGCUUUUCGCAUGAUUAGCAAAUUAAAGGUUACGGUAAGAGAUGGGCAUGCGUCCCAUUAGCUAGAUGGUAAGGUAACGGCUUACCAUGGCAACGAUGGGUAGGGGGCCUGAGAGGGUGAUCCCCCACACUGGUACUGAGACACGGACCAG